UGCGGGAUGGAGCAGUCUGGUAGCUCGUCGGGCUCAUNNCCCGAAGGUCGUUGGUUCAAAUCCAGCUCCCGCUACCA
rnacentral:tRNA from 1 species